AAUACACGGAUGCACUAUUGAUGUACUUCGGCCAACACCCAUAAUUUGAUGGUCUGUUGAGUUUCUACAGGAAUACACUCUCAGUGAAUUCAUGUUCUGUCUGUAUUUCCUUUGGUGAACCCAUUCUUUGAUUUGCACCCCUGAUGAAGUCCUAAGGGACGAAACGCGUUGGGUUUCAACGAUUGUGCGUUUCCGUAAAAACAGUGAACAGAUCAUACAUACUUUCUCAUGCUGAGGAAUAAGUAUUCCAUCUAAUGAUUGAAAACAUCAUAUAUAACAGAUAAUCAGAAAUGAAUGUAUUGCUCA